UCCACCAAAGGCGAGCCUAGCAGAGGGACAUUACACAAUAAAAUACGAAGGCCGUUCGCGGCUGGACUAUUUAUUACCCUUGUCUUUUGCGCACUUGUUGUUUCCUGGGCGGGUUCGCUCGCCACCAGGACCACAAUAUAAACCUUUUUUAUGCAGUUGCAAUCAGCGUCAGUAUAACAAAUGUAAAUCAUUUACAACUUUCAACAACGGAUCUCUUGGUUCUGGCAUCGAUGAAGAACGCAGCGAAAUGCGAUACGUAGUGUGAAUUGCAGAAUUCAGUGAAUCAUCGAAUCUUUGAACGCACAUUGCGCCCUUUGGUAUUCCAAAGGGCAUGCCUGUUCGAGCGUCAUUUGUACCCUCAAGCUUUGCUUGGUGUUGGGCGUUUUUGUCUUUGGCCCGCCAAAGACUCGCCUUAAAAUGAUUGGCAGCCGGCCUACUGGUUUCGCAGCGCAGCACAUUUUUGCGCUUGCAAUCAGCAAAAGAGGACGGCAAUCCAUCAAGACUCCUUCUCACGUUUGACCUCGGAUCAGGUAGGGAUACCCGCUGAACUUAAGCAUAUCAAUAAGCGGAGGACA
rnacentral:rRNA from 1 species